rnacentral:rRNA from 1 species
UACUGUGGAUUUAGUUUAAUUAUUUUAGAUUUAUUUUAAUAUUAACUAAUAAUUAUUUGAUUUUGGUGAAAUAUUUUUUAUUAUUAAAUAUGUUUUUUUAUAUAAUAAUAAUUUUAUGUUAUUAGGAUUAGAUACCCUAUUAAUAAUUUGUUAAGUUUUCUAAGGAUUAUAGUUAAAAUUAAAAUAUUUGGCGGCUAUUUAUAUUAAAGGGAUUUGCUUAUUAUCGAUAUACCUCGUUUUAUAUUAUUUAGUUUGUUUUUGUAUACCAUCAUUUAGAUAAUUUUUAUAUAAUUAAUUAUGGUGAUAAUUUACUUUAUACUAGAUCAAGGUGCAGAUAUUAUUAAUAUUAAGUUAAUGACAAUAAUUAUAUUAUUAAACGUAGAUUGAAUAAUUUAUUUUAAUAGGUGGAUUUAAAUGUAAUUGUAGUUAUUUGAAAUUAAGUUAAUAGUGUACAAAUUGCCCGUCACUCUCUAUGAG